rnacentral:rRNA from 1 species
UACGGAGGAUGUAAGCGUUAUCCGGAAUGAUUGGGCGUAAAGCGUCCGCAGGUGGCAAUGUAAGUCUGCUGUCAAAGCGUCUGGCUCAACCAGAUAAAGGCAGUGGAAACUACAUAGCUAGAGUAAGGUAGGGGUAGAGGGAAUUCCUGGUGUAGCGGUGAAAUGCGUAGAGAUCAGGAAGAACACCGGUGGCGAAAGCGCUCUGCUGGACCUUAACUGACACUGAGGGACGAAAGCUAGGGGAGCGAAUGGG